rnacentral:rRNA from 1 species
GGUCACUGCUAUUGGGGUCCGGCUAAGCCAUGCGAGCGGAGGGCGCGGUCGAAAGAUCGUGGCCCCGCACACGGCUCAGCAACACGUAGUUAACCUACCCUUGGGAUGGGGACAACCUCGGGAAACUGAGGCUAAUCCCCGAUAGGCGAGGGACGCUGGGAUGCCCUCUCGCCCAAAGCUCCGGCGCCUGAGGAUGGGACUGCGGCCUAUCAGGCUGUUGGUGGUGUAACGGACCACCAAACCUACGACGGGUACGGGCGAUGGGAGUCGGAGCCCGGAGAUGGGGACUGAGACAAGGCCCCAGGCCCUACGGGGCGCAGCAGGCGCGAAAACUCCGCAAUGCGCGCAAGCGUGACGGGGGGACCCCAAGUGCCGUUGGUCUUUUGAUCGACGGCUUUUCGGGAGUCUAAGAAGCUCCCGGAAUAAGGGCUGGGUAAGGCUGGUGCCAGCCGCCGCGGUAACACCAGCAGCCCAAGUGGUGGCCACGAUUAUUGGGCCUAAAGCGCUCGUAGCCGGGUCAGCAAGUCCCUUGUGAAAUCGGGCCGCCCAACGGUUCGGCGUGCAAGGGAUACUGUUGGUCUCGAGGCCGGGAGAGGUCGGAGGUACUCCUGGGGUAGCGGUGAAAUGCUCUAAUCCUAGGGGGACCACCAGUGGCGAAGGCGUCCGACCAGAACGGACCUGACGGUGAGGGGCGAAGGCUAGGGGAGCGAACGGGAUUAGAUACCCCGGUAGUCCUAGCUGUAAAGCAUGCGGGCCAGGUGUCUAGCGCUCCUCGAGGGCGCUAGGUGCCGGAGGGAAGCCGUUAAGCCCGCCGCCUGGGCGGUACGGUCGCAAGGCUGAAACUUAAAGAAAUUGGCGGGGGAGCACCACAAGGGGUGGGACCUGCGGUUC